AUGUUUGAUGUUAAGAUUGCUGUACUUAUCAUGCCUUUCCACUACUUAUGCAGGACAACAAUGGGAGUGGCCACCAUUUUCUGCCGAGGUACAUAUGCCCUUGGCAAGGAUCCACGCAUCAACCCUUUUUGUGUAUGGGGCAAUGAGAUAUUGAUGAACAAGCAUCAAGUGAGGAAACUGAUAAGGAUUAUUAGCAAAAAGAUACGAAUGGUGGCAAGCAAAUUAUUUGUUUAUGCUCUAUCCAACACAACAGUGAGUUGUAGGAUGGUUACUACAAACUCUGCAGCCUUGUCUUUUUAUUGCCCAUAA
rnacentral:rRNA from 1 species